GCGUUAACGUGAGACUCUUAUCGGGCGAUAAAAAAAAUAUCGCCGUUAAUCUAUUCUCAAAGUUGGGUUGAGAGCUAUGCAAGCUAUGAUGACUUUCACCUUGAUAUUUUAGCGCGGAUGUAUACCCAGCAAACACAGAACGUUGUGACGACGUCGCCACCCAGAUAGCAAGCACACUCGGGCCGAUUCUGGCUGAAAUGCGGCACUGUCGGUUCAGUCACGACGUCGGUGAGAAGAUAAUGGGCCAGAGCCGCGCCGACUCUACAAAACACUUCUGGCUGACAGACGCUUUUUCUCUCUGGGCCGAUCUCGGCUGAGAGCUGUUGUACGUGCGGCAGGUCCGCACUUGGUGUAGUUGUGUGUAUCUAUCUUCGGCCCGAGCUGGUUUUGUCUCCGGCGGCCGCUGCUAGAAUGAAGAUCAGCCGCUGAGAGAGAUUUGGCGGUUAAUCCUGAGGAGAUUUCGGCGGGCACAGUUCUCAAGAGGAAUACUUCAGCUGCAAAAAGAAAUUCUGAGCUGCUGCAUGAACAUUCAUCAAACAUAAGGCUGCAAUUUGGAAGAAAACCUUUCAAGCUAAUGCUGCUGAAAUGGAGGUCAAGGGGACUAUGAAGAGGUGGCUCCAGCUGAUCAAACACACUCUGUUACAGUAAUCAGCUGAUCCAGUCGGUAUCCAGACCAGACGGUGGACCUGCACCCAGGAACGACCACACCACAUCCCUGACUGUCAGCGGAGAUCAUGUCAGCUAGAUCACAGAUCCCUGUGAAGACCUCAUUGAUGGCCCCAGCACAGAUCCUCAGCAAAGACUACGAGAACCAGACAAGCCCUCUGUGCAGACCCUUUUUACCAGCUUCACCUGCUGGCGUGAUAUUACUUCAAGCAGAAGAAGUUGGAUGAAAUAUUCUGAAUGAUAUCAAUCCACAAUCUGACUUGUGAUGCAGCCUGGAAUAAUCACACCACGUUGAUUCGUUUGGCCAGAGGAGACUGUUUCCUGACUGAGCCGGGUCUUGUUUGGGUUCCUUGUCACUGUUGCCUUUUGUCUUGCUUGGUUGAAGACACCUAAUAUUCAGCAAUAUUAUUGACUUGACUGCACUGACACCAUUUGAUAAGAACUGAACUGAAUUAUGACACACAAUGUUUUAUAUAU